GUCAUCUAUCCUGAGACUAAACUCCCUGACUCUCUCUGCCCCCAAAACGUGUCUCAUGAUGGGAAAGCUGGGGCAGAGAAACCUGGUUCACACCCCCAUCCCUACAGGCCGACUGCAGCGUGUCUGCUGCUGUUGUGUAUUUUCCUAACCAUCUGCAUCAUUGUCCUGAGUAUCUGUUUACAAAGAGCCAACCUGAAAUGCUCAGUG